rnacentral:rRNA from 1 species
UACGUAGGGCGCAAGCGUUGUCCGGAAUUAUUGGGCGUAAAGAGCUCGUAGGCGGUUUGUCGCGUCUGCUGUGAAAACCUAAGGCUCAACCUUGGGCUUGCAGUGGGUACGGGCAGGCUCGAGUUCGGUAGGGGAGACUGGAAUUCCUGGUGUAGCGGUGAAAUGCGCAGAUAUCAGGAGGAACACCGGUGGCGAAGGCGGGUCUCUGGGCCGAUACUGACGCUGAGGAGCGAAAGCGUGGGGAGCGAACAGG